rnacentral:piRNA from 1 species
UGGGUAGGAGUCUGCCCUCUCUGGGCCU